UACGAAGGGGGCUAGCGUUGUUCGGAAUUACUGGGCGUAAAGCGCACGUAGGCGGAUAUUUAAGUCAGGGGUGAAAUCCCAGAGCUCAACUCUGGAACUGCCUUUGAUACUGGGUAUCUUGAGUAUGGAAGAGGUGAGUGGAAUUCCGAGUGUAGAGGUGAAAUUCGUAGAUAUUCGGAGGAACACCAGUGGCGAAGGCGGCUCACUGGGCCAAUGCUGACGCUGAGGCGCGAAAGCGUGGGGAGCAAACAGGG
rnacentral:rRNA from 1 species